UACGUAGGGACCAAGCGUUGUUCGGAUUUACUGGGCGUAAAGGGCGCGUAGGCGGCGUGGUAAGUCACUUGUGAAAUCUCUGAGCUUAACUCAGAACGGUCAAGUGAUACUGCUGUGCUAGAGUGCAGAAGGGGCAAUCGGAAUUCUUGGUGUAGCGGUGAAAUGCGUAGAUAUCAAGAGGAACACCUGAGGUGAAGGCGGGUUGCUGGGCUGACACUGACGCUGAGGCGCGAAAGCCAGGGGAGCAAACGGG
rnacentral:rRNA from 1 species